rnacentral:rRNA from 1 species
UACGUAGGGGGCAAGCGUUGUCCGGAAUCAUUGGGCGUAAAGAGCGUGUAGGCGGCCCGAUAAGUCCGCUGUGAAAGUCCAGGGCUCAACCCUGGGAUGCCGGUGGAUACUGUCGGGCUCGAGUCCGGAAGAGGAGUGUGGAAUUCCUGGUGUAGCGGUGAAAUGCGCAGAUAUCAGGAGGAACACCAAUGGCGAAGGCAGCUCGCUGGGACGUGACUGACGCUGAGGCGCGAAAGCGUGGGGAGCAAACAGG